rnacentral:rRNA from 1 species
UACGAGGGGGGCAAGCGUUGUUCGGAAUUAUUGGGCGUAAAGGGUGCGUAGGCGGUUUGACAAGUCUAAUGUGAAAUCUAUGGGCUCAACCCAUAGUCUGCAUUGGAAACUGUCGGGCUUGAGUAUGGGAGAGGUGAGUGGAAUUCCGGUGCAGCGGUGAAAUGCGUAGAUAUCGGAAAGGAACACCUGCGGCGAAGGCGGGAUCUCUGGGCCGAAACGUGGAACGCUGAGGAGGCGAAAGCGGUGGGGAGCCGAAGACGG